AUUGAACGCUGGCGGCAUGCCUUACACAUGCAAGUCGAACGGCAGCGCGGGGCAACCUGGCGGCGAGUGGCGAACGGGUGAGUAAUAUAUCGGAACAUACCCUAGAGUGGGGGAUAACGUAGCGAAAGUUACGCUAAUACCGCAUACGCACUAAGGUGGAAAGUGGGGGAUCUUCGGACCUCAUGCUCAUGGAGUGGCCGAUAUCUGAUUAGCUAGUUGGUGAGGUAAAGGCUCACCAAGGCGACGAUCAGUAGCUGGUUUGAGAGAACGACCAGCCACACUGGAACUGAGACACAGUCCAGACUCCUACGGGAGGCAGCAGUGGGGAAUUUUGGACAAUGGGGGCAACCCUGAUCCAGCAAUGCCGCGUGAGUGAUGAAGGCCUUAGGGUUGUAAAGCUCUUUUACCAGGGACGAUGAUGACGGUACCUGGAGAAUAAGCCCCGGCUAACUUCGUGCCAGCAGCCGCGGUAAU
rnacentral:rRNA from 1 species